GACAGAGGGGGCAAGCGUUGCUCGGAAUUACUGGGCGUAAAGGGCGCGUAGGCGGGAUGGCAAGUCGGUCGUGAAAUCCCUCGGCUCAACCGAGGAACGUCGAUCGAUACUGCUGUUCUUGAGGAUUGCAGAGGAGACUGGAAUUCCCGGUGUAGCGGUGAAAUGUGUAGAGAUCGGGAGGAACACCGGUGGCGAAGGCGGAUCUCUGGGCCAUCACUGACGCUGAGGAGCGAAAGCGUGGGGAGCGAACAGG
rnacentral:rRNA from 1 species